rnacentral:piRNA from 1 species
UCACUUCCCAGACGGAGUGGCUGCCG